AAAUAUCAAAGUGGGUUCCAUUUGCUUGUCUUGUAUAUUGUAAUAAAAAUUGUUGGUUUAGAUAUAGUUGUUUUGGAUAAGUAACUUGAUUUUUAUUUUUCUUAUGUGCGUUUCAGGAAUCCCAACAUUCAAAGCUGUAUUGUGUUUAAUGAUAGCUUUUGGUAUUACCCCGACAGUUACAUGCAAUGUUACUAAUGUCUAUAAGGUUUUGAAGGCAAGGAAUGGAAGCAUGCCACUUGUACUGGUAAUGGUAAUAUAUUUUUUCCAUAUGAUGAUGUUCUUCUAAGAUCUGGAUGCUUUAUUAAUGUGUUUGUUCUUGGGCAGCUUUACCCGUUUGUUGUACUUGUGGGAGGAGUUCUUAUUUGGGAUUAUUUGUCACCAUCAGACAUCAUGGGGAGAUAUCCACAUUUAGUUGUUAUUGGGACAGGACUUACUUUUGGAUACCUUAUGGUAUGGCAGUUGUAUUUAAAUUUGAAAAAUGGUUUGCUUUUCUUCUUGUUAUUUUCAAUUUUUAUAGCAGCAUUCAGACUUUUUUAUGCCCUUUUUGAAAGAUUAUUAUAAUAUAUUCUUCCAAAUAGACUGAAUCCACUGCAAAUAAAUUUGCAUCGAACCGGUAGGGACCUAUCACAUUUGGAAGAUCAUUAUAAUAUAUUCCAGUAUAUAUUAUAAUAGAGAGAACUCGGUCUAUUAUCUUUCAUUGUC